GCCGGGCGUGGUGGCACACGCCUGUAAUCCCAUCAACUUGGGAGGCAGAGGCAGGAGGAUUGUAAGUUCAAAGCCAGCCUUAGCAAAAGCAAGGCACUAAGCAACUCAGUGAGACCCUGUCUCUA
rnacentral:sRNA from 1 species